rnacentral:tRNA from 1 species
GCCUGGGUGGUUCAGUCGGUUGAGCAUCUGACUUCAGCUCAGGUCAUGAUCUCGCAGUUCAUGGGUUCGAGCCCCGCAUCAGGCU